rnacentral:rRNA from 1 species
GAUGAACGCUGGCGGCGUGCCUAAUACAUGCAAGUCGAGCGAACAGAUAAGGAGCUUGCUCCUUUGACGUUAGCGGCGGACGGGUGAGUAACACGUGGUUAACUUACCUAUAAGACUGGAAUAACUCCGGGAAACCGGGGCUAAUGCCGGAUAACAUGUUGAACCGCAUGGUUCUACAGUGAAAGGCGGCUUUGCUGUCACUUAUAGAUGGGCCCGCUCCGUAUUAGCUAGUUGGUGAGGUGACGGCUCACCAAGGCAACGAUACGUAGCCGACCUGAGAGGGUGAUGGGCCACACUGGAACUGAGACACGGUCCAGACUCCUACGGGAGGCAGCAGUAGGGAAUCUUCCGCAAUGGGCGAAAGCCUGACGGAGCAACGCCGCAUGAGUGAUGAAGGUCUUCGGAUCGUAAAACUCUGUUAUUAGGGAAGAACAAAUGCGUAAGUAACUGUGCGCGUCUUGACGGUACCUAAUCAGAAAGCCACGGCUAACUACGUG